AGGACCUCAACCAGAUAAUGCACAAAAAAACAAAACACAAAUGACAGUUGCUGAGCAGUGGUGUGACACUUGUUUCAAGGAUUCCCAAAAUACUUCAGAUGAAUCAGAAGAUGUGGCAAUGCGAACAUUUCUAGCACUGGAACGACGACUGCAAAGGAAUCUCGAACUAGGGACACAUCAGAAAUCACACACAUCAAAUCAAUGUAUCCUCAAGAAUCAUUAUUUUGUGCCGCACCCUUGUGUUAUCAAAGUGGGGUUGACAUCAACCAGAUUGCGGUAGUUUUCGAUUCAUCAGCAAAAACAACAACACAGCUAUCUCAAUGGCAUAGCCCACUGCAGACCAGCCAUCCAAGAUGAAAUGUGGAUAACCUUAAUAUACUUAGAUUUAGGUUGCCGAAGAUCAUGUUUUCCGUCCAAAUUGAGAAAAUGUAUCGCAGAUCUUCAUUCACAAAUCACAUCGACCAUUUCAUCUAAUAUUUUGACUUGAUCCCAACAAAGCUACAUAAAUUUUCGAGCUAUUAACUGUAGGGUAUGGAAAUAGGAGUGCAAACCACUCAAGCUUGCUAUGUAGAAGGAAUCCCAAACGAAGAUAGAGAGAAGCUAGAUCUCUGUAGUGCCAAAAACGAAUCAAUCAAUACUUCGGGGUUUACAUGACAACCAAAAAACGGGGUUUUUGAGUAAAGGAAUUUUAGGACCGAUUGUUAUAACGGCGAUAAUUAUCGUCCAACAGAAUGCGGGAUGAAAUACACCUGUUUGUUCAACUUUUCAAAGGAAAUGGUUCGAAUUUCGAAAGGACUUCGAGGCACUCAACGAUAUCCAAAUCCCGAGGCAUGUAUUUGCCGGCAAGGUACUGAUGAAGAAGCAAAUCGACGUUUUUUCGGAUGCGUCCGAAAGUAUACAUGGAGCAGCGAUAUAAGUGAGUUCAAAAGACAAAUCAAGGCCUUGGAGAAACCGGAUUAUUGCCGUUCCCAAAUUGAAAUCGCCUCCGCCAUUUCGUCACGUGGGACCACCGGUUCACACCACUAGGGAGUCUGGAGGCUUCUUCCACAUUCAGGUCAUGACUGAUGUCACUCAAACGCCACUGCAGCCGCCAUACAAGGAUGCCUAUAAGGCCUUCCUAAGCUAAUAGAAGAAUAAACAUAUUCUAAAGUGGAGUGACAAAGUAAAAGUAUUUCAUUAAACUAUCGUUACCAACUGCUUACAACCGAAAAUUUCUGUUUG